rnacentral:rRNA from 1 species
GAUGAACGCUGGCGGCGUGCCUAAUACAUGCAAGUCGAGCGAACAGACGAGGAGCUUGCUCCUCUGACGUUAGCGGCGGACGGGUGAGUAACACGUGGAUAACCUACCUAUAAGACUGGGAUAACUUCGGGAAACCGGAGCUAAUACCGGAUAAUAUAUUGAACCGCAUGGUUCAAUAGUGAAAGACGGUUUUGCCGUCACUUAUAGAUGGAUCCGCGCCGCAUUAGCUAGUUGGUAAGGUAACGGCUUACCAAGGCAACGAUGCGUAGCCGACCUGAGAGGGUGAUCGGCCACACGGGAACUGAGACACGGUCCAGACUCCUACGGGAGGCAGCAGUAGGGAAUCUUCCGCAAUGGGCGAAAGCCUGACGGAGCAACGCCGCGUGAGUGAUGAAGGUCUUCGGAUCGUAAAACUCUGUUAUUAGGGAAGAACAAAUGUGUAAGUAACUAUGCACGUCUUGACGGUACCUAAUCAGAAAGCCACGGCUAACUACGUG